GCGGCGGACGGGUGAGUAACACGUGGGCAACCUGCCCGCAAGACCGGGAUAACUCCGGGAAACCGGAGCUAAUACCGGAUAACACCGAAGACCGCAUGGUCUUCGGUUGAAAGGCGGCCUUUGGGCUGUCACUUGCGGAUGGGCCCGCGGCGCAUUAGCUAGUUGGUGAGGUAACGGCUCACCAAGGCGACGAUGCGUAGCCGGCCUGAGAGGGUGACCGGCCACACUGGGACUGAGACACGGCCCAGACUCCUACGGGAGGCAGCAGUAGGGAAUCUUCCGCAAUGGGCGAAAGCCUGACGGAGCGACGCCGCGUGAGCGAAGAAGGUCUUCGGAUCGUAAAGCUCUGUUGUUAGGGAAGAACAAGUAUCGGAGGAAAUGCCGGUACCUUGACGGUACCUGACGAGAAAGCCACGGCUAACUACGUGCCAGCAGCCGCGGUAAUAC
rnacentral:rRNA from 1 species